rnacentral:rRNA from 1 species
CCUACGGGAGGCAGCAGUGGGGAAUAUUGCACAAUGGGGGAAACCCUGAUGCAGCGACGCCGCGUGAGUGAAGAAGUAUUUAGGUAUGUAAAGCUCUAUCAGCAGGGAAGAAAAUGACGGUACCUGAGUAAGAAGCCCCGGCUAACUACGUGCCAGCAGCCGCGGUAAUACGGAGGGGGCAAGCGUUAUCCGGAUGUUCUGGGUGUAAAGGGAGCUUAGACGGCAGCACAAGUCUGGAGUGAAGUGCCGGGGCUUAACCCCGGAACUGCUUUGGAAACUGUGCAGCUAGAGUGCAGGAGAGGUAAGUGGAAUGCCUAGUGUAGCGGUGAAAUGCGUAGAUAUUAGGAGGAACACCAGUGGCGAAGGCAGCUUACUGGACUGUAACUGACGUUGAGGCUCGAAAGCGUGGGGAGCAAACAGGAUUAGAUACCCUUGUAGUC